rnacentral:rRNA from 1 species
UACGUAGGGUGCAAGCGUUGUCCGGAAUUAUUGGGCGUAAAGAGCUCGUAGGCGGUUUGUUGCGUCGGCCGUGAAAACCUGCAGCUUAACUGUGGGCUUGCGGUCGAUACGGGCAUCACUGGAGUUCGGCAGGGGAGACUGGAAUUCCUGGUGUAGCGGUGAAAUGCGCAGAUAUCAGGAGGAACACCGGUGGCCGAAGGCGGGUCUCUGGGCCGAUACUGACGCUGAGGAGCGAAAGCGUGGGGAGCGAACAGG